rnacentral:rRNA from 1 species
CCUACGGGAGGCAGCAGUAGGGAAUCUUCCACAAUGGGCGAAAGCCUGAUGGAGCAACGCCGCGUGGGUGAAGAAGGUCUUCGGAUCGUAAAACCCUGUUGUUAGAGAAGAAAAUACGUGAGAGUAACUGUGCACGUCUCGACGGUAUCUAACCAGAAAGCCACGGCUAACUACGUGCCAGCAGCCGCGGUAAUACGUAGGUGGCAAGCGUUAUCCGGAUUUAUUGGGCGUAAAGGGAGCGCAGGCGGUAUUUUAAGUCUGAUGUGAAAGCCUUCGGCUUAACCGGAGUAGUGCAUUGGAAACUGGGAGACUUGAGUGCAGAAGAGGAGAGUGGAACUCCAUGUGUAGCGGUGAAAUGCGUAGAUAUAUGGCAGAACACCAGUGGCGAAAGCGGCUUUCUGGUCUGUAACUGACGCUGAGGUUCGAAAGCGUGGGUAGCAAACAGGAUUAGAUACCCUGGUAGUC